AUGGAAUGUGGGUGUGACUCACAGGAGCUGCAACUGCGGAAAGCAAAAACCCAUCUGUGCAUUCACUCACUUGGCAGACAAAUGGCAAGGUGUAUACAAGAGCUCCAAAGCAGUAACAGAAGUAGCCCAGUUGAGUACAAUGGCACAAGAAAAAUCAGAUUUGGAAGUUUUGGAGAAGGUUGAAAGUGAAACAUCAGAUUAGUCCUGCAUGGACAAUGAAGAUGAUAAUGAUUUUGACAUUGGCCAUGUGAACCAAAGUUCCUAUACAGUGAAAUGGAGCAAGAAUUAACCAAUACAGAUACAGAGAAUGCAGACCUUCCUGAUUCAGAUGAUGAAGAAAACAGCAAUGAAUAAAAUAUCUGGAGUUCAUAAUUUUUACUUCUGCGCUGAGCACAUAACACAUGCUAGCCCUCCUCCAAGCCCUUCCACUUGGAUGGCGCUGCACUGUCCUUCCCUUCUCCGUCCCACCUCCGGGGAUCCUCCCAUCCGUCCUCUCAGCAUCCUGCUGGGAGCACCUCCCUCCCCACCACUCCUCAGGGAAGAGCACAGCCAAGCGCCCGUUUCUGCACUGGUGUGUGCAGUGGCUGAGUCUGCAUUCUCUCUCCGUCUAAGCACUGGAAACAGUCCUAGUUUUCUUGUGUGUGACUCUUCAGAACUCAAAAACACACUGUGCUGUGGUUCUCCUGAUGACCCCAGACAGCACCUAGGGUACGGGACUGCACACAGGGGGCUCUGCGGUAUUUUUCUGAAUAACCGGAUCAGUGUGAUGCUCCUGUUCUAACAGCACCAGGCUGCUACACAACAGGCACUGCAGGCCCCGCUCUCAACAAACUCCUAAUCCCAGAACUUGUGAGUUCAGAGAAUGUCCGAAACUGGGAGCAGUGGAAAAUGCCUACAGUCCUGCUAUUCUGGAGGCAAGGCAGGAGGUCUGCAAGUUCAAGGCCCAUCCGAGCAAUUUAGC
ensembl:lncRNA